rnacentral:rRNA from 1 species
AGUACGAUCAUUGACCGAAUGAA